UAAGGGCCUGUUGCACUUCCUACUG
rnacentral:piRNA from 1 species